UACGUAGGGUGCGAGCGUUGUCCGGAAUUAUUGGGCGUAAAGAGCUCGUAGGCGGUGUGUCGCGUCGGCCGUGAAAACUUGGGGCUUAACUCUGAGCGUGCGGUCGAUACGGGCAUCACUUGAGUUCGGCAGGGGAGACUGGAAUUCCUGGUGUAGCGGUGAAAUGCGCAGAUAUCAGGAGGAACACCGGUGGCGAAGGCGGGUCUCUGGGCCGAUACUGACGCUGAGGAGCGAAAGCGUGGGGAGCGAACAGG
rnacentral:rRNA from 1 species